rnacentral:rRNA from 1 species
GACGAACGCUGGCGGCGUGCUUAACACAUGCGAGUCGAACGCUGAAGACCUGGCUUUUGUUGGGUUGGAUGAGUGGCGAACGGGUGAGUAACACGUGAGUAGCCUGCCCUCUUCUUUGGGAUAACGCCCGGAAACGGGUGCUAAUACUGGAUAUUCACUGAUCUUCGCAUGGGGGUUGGUGGAAAGGUUUGUUCUGGUGGGGGAUGGGCUCGCGGCCUAUCAGCUUGUUGGUGGGGUGAUGGCCUACCAAGGCUUUGACGGGUAGCCGGCCUGAGAGGGUGACCGGUCACAUUGGGACUGAGAUACGGCCCAGACUCCUACGGGAGGCAGCAGUGGGGAAUAUUGCACAAUGGGCGAAAGCCUGAUGCAGCGACGCCGCGUGAGGGAUGGAGGCCUUCGGGUUGUAAACCUCUUUCGCUCAUGGUCAAGCCGCAACUGUGGGUUGUGGUGAGGGUAGUGGGUAAAGAAGCGCCGGCUAACUACGUG